CGGGGCUNAACUUCGGGGUGGCAGGCGAUACGGGCAUAACUAGAGUGCUGUAGGGGAGACUGGAAUUCCUGGUGUAGCGGUGGAAUGCGCAGAUAUCAGGAGGAACACCGAUGGCGAAGGCAGGUCUCUGGGCAGUAACUGACGCUGAGGAGCGAAAGCAUGGGGAGCGAACAGGAUUAGAUACCCUGGUAGUCCAUGCUGUAAACGGUGGGCGUUAGGUGUGGGGACCGGUUUGGUUUCUGUGCCGUAGCUAACGCAUUAAGCGCCCCGCCUGGGGAGUACGGCCGCAAGGCUAAAACUCAAAGGAAUUGACGGGGGCCCGCACAAGCGGCGGAGCAUGUGGAUUAAUUCGAUGCAACGCGAAGAACCUUACCUGGGUUUGACAUGCACCAGACGGUUGUAGAGAUACGUACCUCCCUUUGUGGUUGGUGUGCAGGUGGUGCAUGGUUGUCGUCAGCUCGUGUCGUGAGAUGUUGGGUUAAGUCCCGCAACGAGCGCAACCCUUGUCUUAUGUUGCCAGCACUUUGGGUGGAGACUCAUGAGAGACUGCCGGGGUUAACUCGGAGGAAGGUGGGGAUGACGUCAAAUCAUCAUGCCCUUUAUGCCCAGGGCUUCACACAUGCUACAAUGGUUAGUACAACGCGCUGCGAGCCUGUGAGGGUGAGCGAAUCGCUGAAAGCUAAUCUCAGUUCGGAUUGGGGUCUGCAACUCGACCCCAUGAAGUCGGAGUCGCUAGUAAUCGCAGAUCAGCAAUGCUGCGGUGAAUACGUUCCCGGGCCUUGUACACACCGCCCGUCACGUCAUGAAAGUUGGUAACACCCGAAGCCCAUGGCCUAACCACCAUUUUUUGGUGGGGGGAGUGGUCGAAGG
rnacentral:rRNA from 1 species